AAGUCGUAACAAGGUUUCCGUAGGUGAACCUGCGGAAGGAUCAUUAACACGUAUCCAACGUUUAAAUCAAUCCGUGCACCUUCAUCUCCCAGUAUCUGGGGCAGUUGAAACAAGGACCAACUCAGACGAUUGGACGGUAACGAUUUCUACGGCGAGCAAACUGGAGGAGUGUGGUUCUGUGUAAAACAAACCAACUGGGCUGCCCUGCUCCUUGACAUUGGAGUCAUCGAAUACCCGAACAACUGUUAACAAUGGAUAUCUUGGUUCUC
rnacentral:misc_RNA from 1 species